AAUACAACUCUCAGCAACGGAUAUCUUGGCUCUUGCAUCGAUGAAGAACGCAGCGAAAUGCGAUACGUAGUGUGAAUUGCAGAAUUCCGUGAAUCAUCGAGUUUUUGAACGCAAGUUGCGCCCGAGGCUCGUCCGAGGGCAUUCCUGCCAGAGCGUCAUCG
rnacentral:rRNA from 2 species